AGUCCUCAGAUAUUUUUUAGAGUCACUGAAGCUUGAUAAAAUAAAAGAUAAAAUAAAAGUUAAAUCCAGUUACAGCACUAAGAUUUACCAUCUGUUUUUCUUAAAGCAGAAAAAUUCAAUUUUUUGUCCCUUGACCACAACUACCUUGGGACACCAUAAUUCAGAGUUUCUAUCCUUUCUGCAGUGACUGUCACCCCAGCUGUACAUGUGAAUGAGCUGGGGAGCAGCAACCACACCCCAAACCAUAUUUGGAACCAGAACAAUGGACAGGGCCCCUCCCUCAUCCGCACACACUAUGAGUUCCUAUAAAUGCCAGGAAAACAACAUAAAGAUGCAUUGUCCUCCAGAGCAAGCAGCAUGGGCUGUGGUGAUGUUAUGCAUUCUCGUUUUGGCCUAUCAGCAUCUGGAGAACCAGAGUUCUGGGCUAUCUUUCUGGGUUUUUUUUUUUUACUUAAUGAAUUGUACUACAUUUAUAGGUGUACAACAAUCAUCACAACCUAAUUUUACAGCAUUACCAUCCCAAACCCUCAGUGCAUCCCCUCACCCCCAACCUGUCUCCUUUGGAAACCAUAAGUUUUUCAAAAUCUGUGAGUCAGUAUCUGUUCUACAAAGUUCAUUGUGUCCUUUUUUAAGAUUCCACAUGUAAGUGAUAGCAUUUGAUGUUGGUGUCUCAUUGUCUGACUAAAUUCACUUAGCAUGAUAAUUUCUAGGUCCAUUCAUUUUGCUGCAAGUGCCGUUAUGUCUUUCCUUUUAAUGGCUGAGUAAUAUUCCAUUUGUACUGUCUUUAUCAGGUAUCAGGUUGGACUUUAGGAGACUUGCAGUGGGACCUCAAAAUGUAACAUUAGGAGUUACACUUUUUUGAGUAACACAUAUAGAGUAGGCAUUUUAUGUCUUAUUAAAUCAUAACCCUUCAAGUUAGGGGUUUUUUUUAGAUUUUAUUUGUAAGUUAAGUAUGAAAUUGGUUCUGUAGUUCCAACUGUUAUGAAUUUGUAAAUAUAAAUAAUACUUGUUUUUCUUCAUGCUGGUAAAGUUAGGUAUUUUUAUCCCCAUUUUAUAGAUGAUGAAACUGAGGCUCGAGAUAAUAAAUGAUGUGUUCCAAUUCACAGGCUAGUAAGUGAUGCCAAAAGUUGAAUUCAAAUCCAUCUAAUUCUCAAACCUUUGCUCUUUCUACCAGCCUCUCCCAUGAUGUCUCAUGUUUAUCUCAAAGAAGGUAAAAUCUUUGACAUCUCUCCUGUUAUGAAAUUCCCAGCUCUUUCAAGUGAUGAACAAGUUCUGGUUGGAGUUUGUAUAUGAACUAACAGCAUAGGGAGUUUCCUGAUAGUCUACUGGUUAGAACUCAGUACUUUAACCUCUGUGGCCUGUGUUCAAUCCUUAGGCUGGGAACUGAGAUCCCACAUCAAGUUGCUGCACACUGCAGCCAGGAAAAAAAAAAAGAGGACAGACAUCAGAAAAAUUCCUGGCAUGUGGACACUACUCUCUGUAGCUCUGGCCACCAAGCCUGAGUGUCCCAGUGCAUCAUCCUUGUCCAAACCCGCAUUUCAUAUGACUGGGCAAAAGAAGGUCUGGGGUAGAUCAUUUCUGAAUGUCUAAGUGAAAAUAACUCAAAUAGCAUGGGAUGGUGAAUGUCCUAAAAUGCCCAUUACCAUGCAGAAAUUCACAAGUUCUCACAUAGAAUUGUAUAUGCUCCAAAUCUUAACUGUGAGCCAUGAUGGUGAAAGUAACCUGUUAAUAUUGGAAGCUUUGGGGAAAAAAUUAUUAUUCUCAAUGUGCUUCAGAAGCUUAUCUAUAAACAUUUUAUCACCUCAGAACUCAGGCAACACAAGGUCAUGGCUGAUGCUGUGAAGGUUGUCAGAAUCUCGUGAGCACUAAACAGAAUCUCGUGAGCACUAAACAUAAAACUGUAAAUCUGUCCAAAGAUUAAUUCACACCUGUGGCAAAGGAUAGCCUUGCAAUAGGUGAUAGCUUACAGUUCUAAAAUCACUAAUGUGGAGAGAAAAAAUGGAACAUUCCACUCCAUUAAAGAGUUACAAUAAACAUUCUUCAGUGGGGGUGAGCAAGUGCUUCUGCAUUAGUCACCUACUGCUGAGUAACAAAUUACCCCAAUGUUUAUCCAUUCAAAAAACACACAUCUAUUACGUCACAAUUUCCUUGGGUCAGGAAUCCAGGAGAGGCUUAGCCAGGUCCCCUUUAUCAGGGUCUCUCACAGUCUAGAGUGAUCUUGUGGCUUCCCUAGAGGAAGAAGAAUAUCCAGGCUCACUCAUGUGGGUGCUGGCAAGAUUUUGUUCCUUGAGAGCUGUUGGACUGAGGGCCUUGGUUCCUCCCUGACUGUUGACUGGAGGCCUCUCUUAGUUAUUUGUUUUGUGGGUCUCCCCAGGGACAACUCACAGCAUGGCAUCUGGCUUCUCUGAGAAUGAGCAAGCAAGAGAGCAAGGAAGAAGGAGCAAGAUGGAAACCAGAGUCUUUUUGUAACCUCAGAAGUGACAGCCUUUCCUCAGAAAACUAAAAAUAGAAUUACUAUUUGAUCCACCCAUCCCACACCUGGGCAUCUAUUCAGAGAAAACCAUACUCGAAAAGAUACAUGUACUCCAAAGUUCAUUGCAGAACUGUAUACAAUAGCCAAGACAUGGAAACAACCUGAAUGUCCAUUGACAGAGGAGUGGAUAAAGAAGAUGUGGUACACAAACACAAGGGAACAUUACUCAGCCAUUAAAAGGAAAGAAAUAACGGCACUUGCAGCAAAAUGAAUGGAAUUAGAAAUUAUCAUGCUAAGUGAAAUUAGCCAGACAGUGAGACACCAACAUCAUAUGCUAUCACUUAAAUGUGGAAUCUUAAAAAAGGACACAAUGAACUUCUUUCUUUGUAGAACAAAUACUGACUCACAGACUUUGAAAAACUUAUGGUUUCCAAAGGAGACAGGUUGGGGGUGGGGGGAUGGGCUGAGGGUUUAGAAUGGAAAUGCUCUAAAAUUGGGUUGUGAUGAUCAUUGUACAACUAUAAAAGUAAUAAAAUUCAUUGAAUAAUUUUAAAAAAGAGAAGUGACAGCCUAUUACUCUCACUCAUCUAUCAGCAUUUUACUCUUUAGAAGCAAGUCACUAGGUUUAGCCCACACUCAAGUGGAGGAAAUUACUGAAAGGCUUUAACACCAGGGAUCAGAGCUUCCUGGGAGCCAACGUAGAAGCUGCCUGGCCCAGUAUCACUGGACUUGGUACCACAGAAGCAUCCAGGUCAGGCCUAACAAUGACCUUCCCACUCUUGCUACAUAAACAGUAGCUCCUGCUCAGUUCUGGAUGAUGCACAGGUGUUCCAGUGAGAUCUGUUCCUGAAGAGGUGGGCUUUUGUUUCCCUUGGGUUGAUUCUACUUUGCAAUAUUCCCCAACAACCUCUGCUUCAGCCUAAUAGAGAAUUCUAUGGAAAAACACACAUUUGGAGCAAGCACACACAGACACCCACACACACAACAGCUUUUUCUCAGUUUUUUGAAUGCAGACUGAGGAUCAUCUCUAAAGAGGUGAAAGUGGUGAAAAAGAAAAGGCCCUUUAAAUAGCAGACCAGACAUCUGAGUUCAAGUGGUGCCUUCAACAGGAAAUAAUUGUACGAUAUUAACACAUUAUUUAACUUUUCCUCACCUACCGUAAAAGAGAGAGAGGGAGAAAAAAAGGGGGAACAAAGAUGAUUCUAGUCUAACUCCCUCAAAAGCCCCAUUCAGCUUCUUUCCAAAGAGAAUUCUCACAACCCCUCCCUUAGGGACCCUAGGUCAAAAGUUGCCAUUUGCCCUAUUUUCUUUUUUGUUUGUUUUUGUUUUUGGCCAUGCCCCUGGCAUGCAGAAGUUCCCAACUUGUGGAGUUUCCCAGGCUAAGGAUCAAACCCAUGCCAUAGCAGCAACUCGAGCCACGGCAGUGACAGCACCUGAGCCAUAAUGCACCAAGCCGCAUGAGAACUCCGUCUUUUGCCCUAUUAUCGCUCCCCCCAACCCAGGCACCCCAGAAUCCUGGUCAUUUAGUUGCUUCUCUCAGUGCAUUUACAUUCCCUCAGUAGCCACAGGAUUUUUCAGUUUACACGGAUAUAAUUUUAAUUUUACUGAUGAUGAAAUUGAAGCACUGAGCGAUUCAAUACUUUAUAGGACUACUCAGUAGCAGAAGCCAGACUACGAUAACCCCAGGAAUUGUGCUACGAAGCGUCAGGCCUCCUGUAAAAUGACAGUUACAGAUGACAUAAUUGCACAUGUGGAUGUAGAACAACCUCAUUAUCAAUGAAUAGUCUGAAACGAAAGCUGUUUUCUAAAGAAGCUCGGUCUAUUUUUAAAAUAAUGCAUUGUACACAGUCAGCACAAUACCAUUUAGCUUACGUGUGACUUUGGGCAAGUUACUUACCUCUCUGAGGCUCAAUUUGCUCAUGGUAAAAUGAGGAAAAGAAAUAUUUGUUGUGAGUACCAAAUUAGAUAUAAUAUCUAAAGUGCCCAUUAUAAAACGCUGCACCUAUAAUUAUGUAUAUUUUAUAAUUAUAUUUUUAUUGUAAUUAUUCAUUCUCUUGACUGGCUCUGAAAAAAAAAUCACAUACUAUGUUUAAGGUGAUGAUAUUAAAAUUUGAGGCCAGGAGAUCUCGUUGUGGCUCAGUGUAACAAACCCGAUAGAAUCCAUGAAGACGUGGGUUCAAUCCCUGGCCUCACUCAGUGGGGUGGCUCAGACAUAGCGUUGCUGUGGCUGAGGUGUAGGUCAGCAGCUGUAGUUCCAUUCCUCCCCUAGCCUGGGAACUUCCAUAUUCCACAGGUGCAGCCCUAAAAAGCAAAUUAAAUAAAUAAAUAAAUAUAUAAAAUUUGAGGCCAUAAUGAAAAGGCUUUGCAUAAUUUCUCUCCUCAAAUGAUCACCUAUCAGUUCCUCUUUCAAGGAUGAGUCAGAGAGUUAACCUAGAAACAUCUGUGAUCAGUUCCCAAGAACUUCUGGGGGCUAAGGAGUCUGGGACCCCAUUAAGCACAGGAGUUUUGUAAAACCUAGAUUUCUCUUUCCUUAGUACAGGCCACCUUCAUAAAUUUGUAUUUCUCUAAAUUCUUUAAAUUCUUUUCUUCUUUCUAUUUGUCAUCAAACUUCUGAAUGCAUAUUUUAUAUUUUUCAAUUGUAGGUUAACAUAAUUUCAGUCAGCCCUUAAUAAUUAGCUCUUUUUCCCAAAUCUUUCUAUGUAGUACCUUGGAAUGUAUCACCAGGUCUUCUGUAUCAUUUUUACUUUAUGACAAGGAACCUUCUGCUAAUGAAUAAAUGAAAUGUGGUUAUAACAGUGCCUGGCACAAAGUUCCCAAUGAAUGUUAGUGUUAGUGUGGCUGAACAAAUAGGCAGCUAAUAUUUACUGAGAACUAACUUGGUGCAGCACUGCUGGCCAAAGACUUUUUUGUUGGGGCCAGAUUAUUCAGGAUCAAUGCAUUUACCAAGAUAUCUUUAGCCAUUUAAUCGGUUUUUAAAUUGAUGGUCCAGAUUCUUUCUCAAAAAAAAAAAAAAA
rnacentral:lncRNA from 1 species